rnacentral:rRNA from 1 species
UCGCGGCCUAUCAGCUUGUUGGCGGGGUAACGGCCCACCAAGGCUACGACGGGUAGCCGGCCUGAGAGGGCGACCGGCCACACUGGGACUGAGACACGGCCCAGACUCCUACGGGAGGCAGCAGUGGGGAAUAUUGCGCAAUGGGCGAAAGCCUGACGCAGCGACGCCGCGUGAGGGACGAAGGUCUUCGGAUUGUAAAUCUCUUUCAGCAGGGACGAAGCGAAAGUGACUGUACCUGCAGAAGAAGCACCGGCUAACUACGUGCCAGCAGCCGCGGUAAUACGUAGGGUGCAAGCGUUGUCCGGAUUUAUUGGGCGUAAAGAGCUCGUAGGCGGUUUGUCGCGUCGGAUGUGAAAACCCAAUGGCUUAACCUUGGGCCUGCAUUCGAUACGGGCAAACUAGAGUGUGGUAGGGGAGACUGGAACUCCUGGUGUAGCGGUGGAAUGCGCAGAUAUCAGGAAGAACACCGAUGGCGAAGGCAGGUCUCUGGGCCAUAACUGACGCUGAGGAGCGAAAGCGUGGGGAGCGAACAGGAUUAGAUACCCUGGUAGUCCAUGCCGUAAACGUUGGGCACUAGGUGUGGGGAGCAUCCCACGUUUUCCGCGCCGUAGCUAACGCAUUAAGUGCCCCGCCUGGGGAGUACGG